CAUUCAUAUAAAUAAGCCCUCUCACCCCCGCUGCAAAUCAUUUAUGGACAUUAUGGAUGUAUUAGGAUUCCAGCAACGCAUUCAGGGUUCGACACAGUUUUGUGGAAAUACCCUGGAUUUGGUCCUCGUUCAUGGUAUCACUGUCACAAAUAUUGACAUCAUACACCAUGUGUCUGUGG